rnacentral:rRNA from 1 species
GUUCUCUCCGAAAUAGCUUUAGGGCUAGCCUCGGAAUUAGGAUCGUGGAGGUAGAGCCACUGUUUGGACUAGGGGCCCGUCAUGGGUUACCGAAUUCAGAUAAACUCCGAAUGCCAUCGAUUUAUGUCCGGGAGUCAGACGGUGAGUGAUAAGAUCCAUCGUCGAAAGGGGAACAGCCCAGACCACCAGUUAAGGUCCCUAAAUAUAUGUUAAGUGGAAAAGGAUGUGGAGUUGCAUAGACAACUAGGAUGUUGGCUCAGAAGCAGCCACCAUUUAAAGAGUGCGUAAUAGCUCACUAGUCGAGUGAUCCUGCGCCGAAAAUGUACCGGGGCUUAAACAUAUUACCGAGACUGUGGAUGCCACCAUUAGGUGGCGUGAUAGGAGAGCGUUCUAAGGGCGACGAAGGCAGACCGUGAGGACUGUUGGAGCGCUUAGAAGUGAGAAUGCCGGUAUGAGUAGCGAAAGAUAGGUGAGAAUCCUAUCCACCGUAUGACUAAGGUUUCCUGGGGAAGGCUCGUCCUCCCAGGGUUAGUCGGGACCUAAGGCGAGGCCGAGAGGCGUAGUCGAUGGACAACAGGUAGAGAUUCCUGUACUUACGGUAUGAAUGAUGGAGUGACGGAGAAGGCUAGCGGAUCCUGCUGAUGGAAAUGCAGGUGCAAGCGAGGUAGCCGACAGCCAGGCAAAUCCGGCUGUCGAAAGGCAAAGGCGUGAGGCGUAUGGAAAGCUGCGGCAAGUACAGAAGUCCGUGAAGCCAGCUUCCAAGAAAAGCUUCUAGUGAUAAUCAUACAGUAACCCGUACCGAAAAUGGACACACAUGGGUGAGGAGAGAAUCCUAAGGUGAGCGAGAGAACUAUAGCUAAGGAACUCUGCAAAAUGACUCCGUAACUUAGGGAUAAGGAGUGCUCAUAGAGAUAUGAGCCGCAGUGAAACGGCCCAAGCGACUGUUUACCAAAAACACAGCUCUAUGCUAAGUCGAAAGACGACGUAUAUGGGGUGACGCCUGCCCGGUGCUGGAAGGUUAAGAGGAUGUGUCAGCGCAAGCGAAGCAUUGAAUUGAAGCCCCAGUAAACGGCGGCCGUAACUAUAACGGUCCUAAGGUAGCGAAAUUCCUUGUCAGGUAAGUUCUGACCCGCACGAAAGGCGUAACGAUUUGGGCGCUGUCUCAGCUGUAGACUCGGUGAAGUCUUAGUACCUGUGAAGAUGCAGGUUACCCGCGACUAGACGGAAAGACCCCAUGGAGCUUUACUGUAGCUUGAUAUUGGACUUUGAUGCAAGAUGUACAGGAUAGGUAGGAGACUGAGAGACAUGCACGCCAGUGUGUGAGGAGUCAAUGUUGGGAUACUACUCUUCUUGUAUUGGAGUUCUAACCGGAUGCCAUGGAACUGGCAACGGGACAGUGUCAGGUGGGCAGUUUGACUGGGGCGGUCGCCUCCCAAAGAGUAACGGAGGCGCCCAAAGAUACCCUCAGCUUGGAUGGAAAUCAAGCGCAGAGUGCAAAGGCAUAAGGGUGUUUGACUGCGAGACCUACAAGUCGAGCAGGGACGAAAGUCGGGCUUAGUGAUCCGGCGGUGCUGAAUGGAAAGGCCGUCGCUCAACGGAUAAAAGCUACCCUGGGGAUAACAGGCUGAUCUCCCCCAAGAGUCCACAUCGACGGGGAGGUUUGGCAC